GACGAAGGAUGCAAGCGUUAUCCGGAAUGAUUGGGCGUAAAGCGUCCGCAGGUGGCUAUGUAAGUCUGCUGUUAAAGAGUGAGGCUCAACCUCAUAAGAGCAGUGGAAACUACAUGGCUAGAGUGCGUUCGGGGCAGAGGGAAUUCCUGGUGUAGCGGUGAAAUGCGUAGAUAUCAGGAAGAACACCGGUGGCGAAAGCGCUCUGCUAGGCCGCAACUGACACUGAGGGACGAAAGCUAGGGGAGCGAAUGGG
rnacentral:rRNA from 1 species